rnacentral:tRNA from 1 species
UAUAAUUUAGUAUAAGGAGGUAUUUAAAUUUUUGAUAUUUAAGGAAAUAGUUUAAUUCUAUUGAUUAUAA